AUGAACGCUGGCGGCGUGCUUAACACAUGCAAGUCGCACGAAGCAUUUAAGACAGAUUACUUCGGUUUGAAGUCUUUUAUGACUGAGUGGCGGACGGGUGAGUAACGCGUGGGUAACCUGCCUCAUACAGGGGGAUAGCAGCUGGAAACGGCUGGUAAUACCGCAUAAGCGCACAGUACCACAUGGUACAGUGUGAAAAACUCCGGUGGUAUGAGAUGGACCCGCGUCUGAUUAGCUUGUUGGCGGGGUAACGGCCCACCAAGGCGACGAUCAGUAGCCGACCUGAGAGGGUGACCGGCCACAUUGGGACUGAGACACGGCCCAGACUCCUACGGGAGGCAGCAGUGGGGAAUAUUGCACAAUGGAGGAAACUCUGAUGCAGCGACGCCGCGUGAGUGAAGAAGUAGUUCGCUAUGUAAAGCUCUAUCAGCAGGGAAGAUAGUGACGGUACCUGACUAAGAAGCUCCGGCUAAAUACGUG
rnacentral:rRNA from 1 species